AUCAUCAUUGUCAAGUAUUAUGUACUAUCUAUAAUUGUAUGUGCUAAACUUUUAUAUGAAUGCUAGCACAGUAGGUUUGUUUACAGCAGCAUCACCACAAACACGAGUAAUGCAUUGCACUAUGACCAUACAAUAGCUAUGACAUCAUUAAGCAGUAGGAAUUUUUCAGCUUCAUUAUAAUAUGUACGGGACAACUGUGUAUAUGUGGUUCAUCAUUGACUGAAAUAUGGUACAUGACUGCCUACAAACAUACACACACACACGCUGAGAAGUAUCAGAAUCUGCUGUCUGUAAGCGGGAGACCCAGGAAAGCCAAAGAGGCGGAAUAAUGGUCGCAGAAGAUGAUCACACCCUAAUCCUCAGAACUUGUGAAUGUGUUACCUUUUCUGACAAAAGGGACUUUGUAAAUGUGAUUAAAAAUAUUUACCUUGAGAUAAGAAGAUCAUCCUAGAUUAUCCAGAGGAUCCAGUCUAAUCACAUGAGUCUUUAGAAGUGGAGCACCCUUGACAGUUUCAGGAAACCAAAGGAGUGGCAGCUUGCGAAAGAUUUGGCCAGCUGUGCUGAUGUUGAAGAUGGAGGAAGGAAUAUGGAGGACCUCUAGAACUCUGAUAAGACAAGAACAUGAAUUCUCACUUGGAGUCUCCAAAAUUGAAUGCAUCCCUGCCAACAUCAAGAUUGUAGCACAGCAGGACUAACGUUGGGCUUCUGAUCCAUAAAAUUAUAAGAUUAUAAAUUUGGAUUGUUUAUGCCUCCAAA